rnacentral:lncRNA from 1 species
AGAAAUAUAAUAAAUAUAUAUGUGUGUCUAUAUACAUGCAACAUAUACGCGGAAAGAGUCAAGUUAAGAGCGUAAAAUGCCUGUAAAUUUCUUCAAGAAUCUUUCCUUUCUUAAAUACAGUGAAUGUUGGUUUCUGUUGCUUUUUACUUUCCUACAUACCAAACACAAAUAUUUUUCAUCAAAGACAGAAACUUGACUUAGCAGCAGGAAAAAGAAAAAAAUGUUAUGGAGGGUUCAAAACGAGCUAUUUUUGUGUAUAUGUGUGUCACAUCUUUUUUCAAGAGGGAAGGGUUUUCUUGAGUUCUCUGUCAUUUAUUUUUUUGCUGGUAUCAGAAAAUAGUGUGGGAAGUAAUAUUUAUUUAUUUAGAGGAGUAUUUUAUUAUUUUUUUUUCUUUUAUUCCUGAAUAACUUGAGUCCUUCAAAUGCCAAAUUCAUUCACUUGAAAUGAGCUCUUUUAGCAGAAUAGAAAUAUAUAUAUAUAUAUAUAUCCCAAUAUAAAUGUUCUUCCAAUAUUUAUUAAGUCAAAUAUAUAUAUAUAUACACAUAUAUACACACACUCACACAUAUAUAUACACACAUAUAUGCACACACACACACACACACAUAUAUAUAUACACACACACAUAUAUACAUAUACAAAUAUACAUACACACACAUAUAUAUAUAUACCUAGAUACAUACAUGUAUGUAUAUAUAUAUAUAGGCACAUAUACAUGCAUACAUAUAUAUAUAUAAAGAUGUGUGUAUAUGUAUGUAUAUAUAUAUAUAUAUAUAUAUAUAUAUAUAUAUAAAUGUGUGUGUGUAUGUAUAUGUAUGUAUACAUGAAAUUAUUAAACCCUCCCCUACUCUACCCUGCUCAGCCAAAUGAAGAAAAAAAUACUAAAUAAUUAAAUUUUAAAAAAUACAAAACUAAAGACGUAUAAAAUAAAAAAAAAGAAAACAUCGUCAUUUAUAUGAAACCAGGUCAAAACUGGAAUAAAAAUGCCAAAACAAAAAUUUUACCAUUUUUCAAAUUUUUUUUUUUUUUUUUUUUUUUCUUUUUCCUCCUGAAAAAACUCUGAAUAAAAGAUAAUUCUCUCUGAGGAGUACCCGGGGGGUUGUUUCCCCGCUACUCUCGAAAAAAAUAGGAAUAUAUAUAUUGACGAAAAAAAUAACAAAACAAACCAAAAAAAAAAAACAAAAAAAAAUAUGCUGCGAAUUGAUUAUUAAUGGUAAUUUCUGAUAAAUACGGAUUCACUACUUGCUAAUAUUAAUAAUAAUAAUAAUUAAUAUUAUUAUUAAUGACUUCUUUUAUUUUUUUUAAAUAAUUAUUAACAAUAAUGAUAAGGAAAUAUGAUAAUGAUAAUAAGGAUUUCUAUCGUUUUAAAACAAUGAUUUCUAACAUUUGAUAAUGAUAAUAAACUAUUAUUUCUACAACG